rnacentral:tRNA from 1 species
UCUAAUGUGGCAGAAUAGUGCAAUAAAUUUAAAAUUUAUAUAUAAAUAUAAUUUCUUUAGAA